GGGGAAUAUUGCACAAUGGGCGAAAGCCUGAUGCAGCAACGCCGCGUGAGUGAUGACGGUCUUCGGAUUGUAAAGCUCUGUCUCUUGGGACGAUAAUGACGGUACCAAAGGAGGAAGCCACGGCUAACUACGUGCCAGCAGCCGCGGUAAUACGUAGGUGGCAAGCGUUGUCCGGAUUUACUGGGCGUAAAGAACGUGUAGGCGGAUACUUAAGUGAGAUGUGAAAGCCCCGGGCUCGACCUGGGGACUGCAUUUCAAACUGGGUAUCUAGAGUGCAGGAGAGGAAAGCGGAAUUCCUAGUGUAGCGGUGAAAUGCGUAGAGAUUAGGAAGAACAGCAGUGGCGAAGGCGGCUUUCUGGACUGUAACUGACGCUGAGGCAUGAAAGCGUGGGGAGCAAAC
rnacentral:rRNA from 1 species